AUAUUCAUAGUAAUUCAGAAUAACUACAGAAACCAAAAUAUCUAAGUAUUUAGUUUUGUUAUUGAAACUUAGAACUAGCUUUGCUCCAGUGAUGGACUGUAGAAAAAUAAAAGCUCUGAGUCUAACAUUUUAAGUAAACUUACUUGGAUAUGAAAAUAAAUGGACUUUUAGACUUACUGACAAAUGUUACGUGUUCUCCCUGCUCUCUAUCCUCUCCCCAGAAUAUUAGAAUAAUGGCCAAGUAUUAUACUCGGAUAACAAUGAAAAGGAUGGCACAGCUUCUGGAUCUAUCUGUUGAUGAGUCCGAAGCCUUUCUCUCAAAUCUAGUAGUUAACAAGACCAUCUUUGCUAAAGUAGACAGAUUAGCAGGAAUUAUC
rnacentral:ncRNA from 2 species